rnacentral:rRNA from 1 species
GGACGAACGCUGGCGGCGUGCCUAAUACAUGCAAGUAGAACGCUGAAGGAGGAGCUUGCUUCUCUGGAUGAGUUGCGAACGGGUGAGUAACGCGUAGGUAACCUGCCUGGUAGCGGGGGAUAACUAUUGGAAACGAUAGCUAAUACCGCAUAAGAGUAGAUGUUGCAUGACAUUUGCUUAAAAGUUGCAAUUGCAUCACUACCAGAUGGACCUGCGUUGUAUUAGCUAGUUGGUGGGGUAACGGCUUACCAAGGCGACGAUACAUAGCCGACCUGAGAGGGUGAUCGGCCAAACUGGGACUGAGACACGGCCCAGAGUCCUACGGGAGGCAGCAGUAGGGAAUCUUCGGCAAUGGACGGAAGUCUGACCGAGCAACGCCGCGUGAGUGAAGAAGGUUUUCGGAUCGUAAAGCUCUGUUGUAAGAGAAGAACGAGUGUGAGAGUGGAAAGUUCACACUGCGACGGUAUCUUACCAGAAAGGGACGGCUAACUACGUG